AACGAACGCUGGCGGCAGGCCUAACACAUGCAAGUCGAGCGAAGCCUUCGGGAUUAGCGGCGGACGGGGGAGUAACGCGUGGGAACGUGCCCUUUGGUACGGAAUAGUCCCGGGAAACUGGGAGUAAUACCGUAGGUGCCCUUAGGGGGAAAGAUUUAUCGCCAAAGGUCCGGCCCGCGUUGGAUGAGGUAGUUGGUGGGGUAAUGGCCUACCAAGCCGACGAACCUUAGCUGGUUUGAGAGGAUGAGCAGUCACACUGGGACUGAGACACGGUCCAGGCUCCUACGGGAGGCAGGAGUGGGUAAUCUUGGACGAUGGGGGCAACGAAGAUCUAGCCAGGCCGGUUGAUCGAUGAAGGCCUUGGGGUUGUAAAGAUCUUUCAGUGGGGAAGAUAAUGACGGUACCCGCAGAAGAAGCCCCGGCUAACUCCGUGCCAGCGGCCGCCGUAACAC
rnacentral:rRNA from 1 species